GUCCAAUUGUUUAUUUCUAUGCAUCCAUCUUAUUGAGAAAUGUUUUCCUUAGAUUAUCUUUGUUUCAUUCUUUGUUGAGUCUCAUGAUUAAUUUUGCCACUUAUAUUGCCUGGAGGCAUAAUCCUUAUACAGAGAAACUAACUACUGGAGUUAAAUUGUGACUUUGAUGAUUAACACAACCUCUUGCCUGUAUUGGUAGUAUAUUGUGCAUGCUGAGUUUGGAUUAUUAAACAUGAAUCAAUCCUGGUAUACUUCAUAUGUGGUUUAUUCUUCUCCCAAUACUUCGGGUGAAUAUACUGGAGUUAGCAAUUCGUCAUCUGAGUUGAAGGAUCCUUUCCUGUUACUGUGUUCUUUGACAAUAGGGUUGUAAUUUGAGCUGAUGAACAACUUUUUCAGUUACAGUUUGUGAAGAACAUGGAGAUGUAUCUUUAUUUCUAGCAUCUAAAUUGGUUGAUUGGAUGUCCUUUCUUUUUAGCAUCUGAAUCCAUGGAGGAGCUCUUUCCUGUAAGGCAUUUCCCUGUCUCUAUUAUGUGCUGUAGUUUGUUCACCAAGGAACUUCUCACAAUGAGUAGGUUUGAUAUAAUCCCCCUUCCAGGAAUCUAAUCACAUCAGAUGCUAAGUGGUGGGAUUUUAUUUUAUUGCCAUGUUUUUGAUGUUUAUGGAUAUGCUAAAUUCUGGUUUCAUCUGAGACAUCUUUGGUAAUCUGCUGCCUGACUCUGGAGGAUGUCCAAUUUGAUUUAUGACCUACCGGGUGCUAGUCCAAUAAUUAAUUUCUACUAUGCAUGUUAUUGAGGUAAAAUUUUCCUUGGAUUGCCAACCCUUGUUUCAUUGAAUCUCAUGAUUAAUUUGCCACUUACAAUGUCUGGAGACAAUUCAUAUACAGAGUAACCAACUACUGGGUGUUUAAUAGUUACUGAUGAUUAACGUGUGCUUUUGUAUGUAUGUGCA